rnacentral:rRNA from 1 species
CCUACGGGUGGCAGCAGUCGAGAAUCAUUCACAAUGGGGGAAACCCUGAUGGUGCGACGCCGCGUGGGGGAAUGAAGGUCUUCGGAUUGUAAACCCCUGUCAUGUGGGAGCAAAUUAAAAAGAUAGUACCACAAGAGGAAGAGACGGCUAACUCUGUGUCAGCAGCCGCGGUAAUACAGAGGUCUCAAGCGUUGUUCGGAAUCACUGGGCGUAAGGCGUGCGUAGGCUGUUUCGUAAGUCGUGUGUGAAAGGCGCGGGCUCAACCCGCGGACGGCACAUGAUACUGCGAGACUAGAGUAAUGGAGGGGGAACCGGAAGUCUCGGUGUAGCAGUGAAAUGCGUAGAUAUCGAGAGGAACACUCGUGGCGAAGGCGGGUUCCUGGACAUUAACUGACGCUGAGGCACGAAGGCCAGGGGAGCGAAAGGGAUUAGAUACCCGAGUAGUC